AGGUUUAUAACUCAACGGAAAAGAGUAUCAUUUUAAUUAGAUGAAAGCAAUUGGUUCAACUCCAAUUAAACCUA
rnacentral:tRNA from 1 species